rnacentral:rRNA from 1 species
AACGAACGCUGGCGGCAUGCCUAACACAUGCAAGUCGAACGAAGUCUUCGGACUUAGUGGCGCACGGGUGCGUAACGCGUGGGAAUCUGCCCUUGGGUACGGAAUAACUCAGAGAAAUUUGUGCUAAUACCGUAUAAUGUCUUCGGACCAAAGAUUUAUCGCCCAAGGAUGAGCUCGCGUAAGAUUAGCUAGUUGGUGGGGUAAAAGCCUACCAAGGCGACGAUCUUUAGCUGGUCUGAGAGGAUGAUCAGCCACACUGGGACUGAGACACGGCCCAGACUCCUACGGGAGGCAGAAGUGGGGAAUAUUGGACAAUGGGCGAAAGCCUUAUCCAGCAAUGCCGCGUGAGUGAUUAAGGCCUUAGGGGUGUAAAGCUCUUUUACCAGUGAUGAUAAUGACAGUACCUGGAGAAUAAGCUCCGGCUAACUCCGUGCCAGCCGCCGCCGUAACAC